rnacentral:rRNA from 1 species
UCAGANUCCUGGCCGUCGUUUUCAUCCUCUACUGNCUNNGCNCCUGNNUGCUGNUUNUCUGNUUNUAGUUUNANACUGGCUCAGGACGAACGCUGGCGGCGUGCCUAACACAUGCNAGUCNAACNGAGAAUUUCAAAGAGUUUACUCGGAGAAAUUUUUAGUGGCGGACGGGUGAGUAACGCGUGGGUAACCUACCCAUAAACCCGGGACAACCCUUGGAAACGAGGGCUAAUACCGGAUAAUCUUAAAUGUUGGCAUCAACGUAUAAGAAAAGGUGGCCUCUGAAGAUGCUACCGAUUAUGGAUGGACCCGCGUCUGAUUAGCUAGUUGGUAGGGUAACGGCCUACCAAGGCGACGAUCCGUAGCUGGUCUGAGAGGACGACCAGCCACACUGGGACUGAGACACGGCCCAGACUCCUACGGGAGGCAGCAGUGGGGAAUAUUGGACAAUGGGCGAAAGCCUGAUCCAGCGACGCCGCGUGGGUGAAGAAGGCCUGCGGGUUGUAAAGCCCUUUCGGUGGGGAAGAAAAGCUUCGACCUAAUACGUCGAGGUCUUGACGUAACCCACAGAAGAAGCACCGGCUAACUCUGUGCCAGCAGCCGCGGUAAUACAGAGGGUGCGAGCGUUACUCGGAAUUACUGGGCGUAAAGCGUGCGUAGGUGGUUCGUUAAGUCUGAUGUGAAAGCCCUGGGCUCAACCUGGGAGUUGCAUUGGAAACUGGCGGGCUAAAGUACGGUANAGGGUAGUGGAAUUC